rnacentral:rRNA from 1 species
CAGCCCUUGACAUUUGGCGCCCGCCACAGAGAUGUGGUUUUCCCUUCGGGGACGCCAGGACAGGUGCUGCAUGGCUGUCGUCAGCUCGUGUCGUGAGAUGUUGGGUUAAGUCCCGCAACGAGCGCAACCCUCGCCCUUAGUUGCCAGCAUUUAGUUGGGCACUCUAAGGGGACUGCCGGUGAUAAGCCGAGAGGAAGGUGGGGAUGACGUCAAGUCCUCAUGGCCCUUAUGACCUGGGCUACACACGUACUACAAUGGCCGGUACAACGGGAAGCGAAGCCGCGAGGUGGAGCCAAUCCUACAAAAGCCGGUCUCAGUUCGGAUUGCAGGCUGCAACUCGCCUGCAUGAAGUCGGAAUUGCUAGUAAUCGCGGAUCAGCAUGCCGCGGUGAAUACGUUCCC